UGUAAUGGCUGCUUCCCGGAAGGUAACGUACGAACUCUUCUCCAAAGGAUACGUAGAUGGCCCCAGUGUGUUUGUGAAACAGGGGCAGAUUUGGACUUUGCCGAACCAAAGUAGGGGUUCUUUUUCAAAUCUGAAUACCAAGUCCUGGAAUGAACUCGUCUCUCGAUUCGGUUUAUUUUUGACUUUCUCUGUGUGGGUGAACCGACCAACUUUUAAGUCUAGUUCCUCCUUGGACAAACUGUUUUCUGUUCUCAGUACCUAUUCCUCUUCCUUACAUACGGCCGUCCUGCUCUGCACUGUCUCUAGCUGCCUCUUUAAAAUAACAAUUAUUAUUAUUAAUUUUUAAACCCCCCCCCCCCAACUAUAAAACAGGCAGUGUCACGUGGAACUUCUUAGCCUCAGCAUCGGGAGCCCCAGGAAGGGAAAAAUUUCAAGUCGGAUAGAAAAUAUAUAUAUACCGUUUUUUUGGAAACUUCAGCCCUCAAGAUCCCAACAUCAUGACCUCAGUUUCAACACAAUUGCUCUUAGUCCUCAUUUCACUGCUUGUGGUGCUGCCGGUUGUUGAAGCAGUAGAAGCCGGAGAUGCAAUUGCUCUCUUGUUAGGUGUGGUUCUCAGCAUUACAGGCAUUUGUGCUUGCCUGGGGGUAUAUGCACGAAAGAGAAAUGGACAGAUAUGACUUUGAAGGGCUUCCUGAAUCAAACCUCACCCUGAAAACCUUUGUGCUAUUGAGGAUAAACCUGAGAUGUGGUGUCUGAAAGUUUCCAAGAAUCAAUAAAUAGGGAAGCUUUACCAUUCUUGUUUCCAUUAAAAAUGGGAACAAAUUGAUAGAGAAAUGGGAAAUUAAAUGUUUGCUUUACAGCAAAUAAUGCACUGAAAAAUGCAGCCUAUAAUUUGUUUUUUGCUGAUAGGAAAGGAGGUCAAUGAAAUAAGAUGGCUAAAAUUUACAUAAGUAAUAUUUCAUAGUUUUAGAAUUCUCAAAGCACGUGAAAUAGGAAGAAGGAAGUUCUUAUUCAGAUUUAGGAAAUUGCCGUUGUCCAGUUAUAAUCACUGCCUCCUGAAUCACUGUGGAGUCUUUCCUCCAUAUUUUUGUUAGAUUUUUGUUUUGUUAUCUCCCAAGUUAAUAUUGUAUUUAGGUAUCAAAUAGCCAAAAGAAAUGGAAACUUUUAUCUCUGAGGAAAAAAAUUUAGGAAAAUGUAUUCAGUGUAUCUAAUAUUGAAAUGGAGGAAACAUUUAAUGUAAAAAAAGCAUUUUAUAUUGACAUUAAAAUGGAAAAGAGAUGUAAUGUUUAAAAAAAUUUAUAUUAAUUGAGUUACAUCCCCAUGGUGAAAAGUACUAUAUUAAAUAUAAAUCCAUUAUGUCUUAA